AGCUACUUCACUGUGGCAAGACUUGAAAGUUAUGGAUAUAAGAAGUUUUUUCCAAAAGAAAAUGGAUGAAGGCAAUGAGGCACAGCAGUUUUCAUCGUUGAGUGGAGGGUUUUUUCUUUGUGCUGCGUCUGCAGUUACCAGCUGUGACCACAGGUGGCGCCAAAUCCACCAGGACUGAAAUUUUAUUGGAGCAGCACCUAGUGGUCACACGAGGAACUGCAGCUGGAGUUUGGACAGAAGACACAACAGACCAGGUUUUAUUUUG